ACGAAGAGUUUGAUCCUGGCUCAGGAUGAACGCUAGCGACAGGCUUAACACAUGCAAGUCGAGGGGCAUCAGGAAGUAGCAAUACUUUGCUGGCGACCGGCGCACGGGUGAGUAACGCGUAUGCAACCUACCUAUCAGAGGGGGAUAACCCGGCGAAAGUCGGACUAAUACCGCAUAAAACAGGGGUCCCGCAUGGGAAUAUUUGUUAAAGAUUAAUUGCUGAUAGAUGGGCAUGCGUUCCAUUAGAUAGUUGGUAAGGUAACGGCUUACCAAGUCUGCGAUGGAUAGGGGUUCUGAGAGGAAGGUCCCCCACACUGGUACUGAGACACGGACCAGACUCCUACGGGAGGCAGCAGUGAGGAAUAUUGGUCAAUGGGCGAGAGCCUGAACCAGCCAAGUCGCGUGAAGGAUGAAGGAUCUAUGGUUCGUAAACUUCUUUUAUAUGGGAAUAAAGUGCAGGACGUGUCCUGUUUUGUAUGUACCGUAUGAAUAAGGAUCGGCUAACUCCGUGCCAGCAGCCGCGGUAAUACGGAGGAUCCGAGCGUUAUCCGGAUUUAUUGGGUUUAAAGGGAGCGUAGGCGGACGCUUAAGUCAGUUGUGAAAGUUUGCGGCUCAACCGUAAAAUUGCAGUUGAUACUGGGUGUCUUGAGUACAGUAGAGGCAGGCGGAAUUCGUGGUGUAGCGGUGAAAUGCUUAGAUAUCACGAAGAACUCCGAUUGCGAAGGCAGCCUGCUGGACUGUAACUGACGCUGAUGCUCGAAAGUGUGGGUAUCAAACAGGAUUAGAUACCCUGGUAGUCCACACAGUAAACGAUGAAUACUCGCUGUUUGCGAUAUACAGUAAGCGGCCAAGCGAAAGCGUUAAGUAUUCCACCUGGGGAGUACGCCGGCAACGGUGAAACUCAAAGGAAUUGACGGGGGCCCGCACAAGCGGAGGAACAUGUGGUUUAAUUCGAUGAUACGCGAGGAACCUUACCCGGGCUUGAAUUGCAACUGAAUGAUGUGGAGACAUGUCAGCCGCAAGGCAGUUGUGAAGGUGCUGCAUGGUUGUCGUCAGCUCGUGCCGUGAGGUGUCGGCUUAAGUGCCAUAACGAGCGCAACCCUUAUCUUUAGUUACUAACAGGUCAUGCUGAGGACUCUAGAGAGACUGCCGUCGUAAGAUGUGAGGAAGGUGGGGAUGACGUCAAAUCAGCACGGCCCUUACGUCCGGGGCUACACACGUGUUACAAUGGGGGGUACAGAAGGCAGCUACACGGCGACGUGAUGCUAAUCCCAAAAACCUCUCUCAGUUCGGAUCGAAGUCUGCAACCCGACUUCGUGAAGCUGGAUUCGCUAGUAAUCGCGCAUCAGCCAUGGCGCGGUGAAUACGUUCCCGGGCCUUGUACACACCGCCCGUCAAGCCAUGGAAGCUGGGGGUGCCUGAAGUUCGUGACCGCAAGGAGCGACCUAGGGCAAAACCGGUGACUGGGGCUAAGUCGUAACAAGGUAGCCGUACCGGAAGGUGCGGCUGGAACACCUCCUU
rnacentral:rRNA from 1 species